rnacentral:rRNA from 1 species
AAUUUUGGACAAUGGGGGAAACCCUGAUCCAGCCAUCCCGCGUGUAUGAUGAAGGCCUUCGGGUUGGAAAGUACUUUUGGCAGAGAAGUAAAGGAAUCUCCUAAUACGAUAUUCUGCUGACGGUAUGUGCAGAAUAAGCACAGGCCAACUACGUGCCACCAGCCGCGGUAAUACGUAGGGUGCAAGCGUUAAACGGAAUUACUGGGCGUAAAGCGUGUGUAGGCGGUUCGAAAAGAAAGAUGUGAAAUCCCAGGGCUCAACCUUGGAACUGCAUUUUAAACUGCAGAGCUAGAGUAUGUCAGAGGGGGGUAGAAUUCCACGUGUAGCAGUGAAAUGCGUAGAUAUGUGGAGGAAUACCGAUGGCGAAGGCAGCCCCCUGGGAUAAUACUGACGCUCAGACACGAAAGCGUGGGGAGCAAACA